rnacentral:tRNA from 1 species
GGGGUUGUAGCUCAGUGGUAGAGUGCUUGCCUCUCAUGCAUGAGGCCCUGGGCUGGGUCCCCAGCACCA